rnacentral:rRNA from 1 species
UACGUAGGGUGCGAGCGUUAAUCGGAAUUACUGGGCGUAAAGCGCGCGUAGGCGGAUUUGCAAGUCGGGGGUGAAAGCCCGAGGCUCAACCUCGGAACUGCCCUCGAUACUGCAAAUCUCGGGUCCGAGAGAGGUGAGUGGAAUUCCUAGUGUAGAGGUGAAAUUCGUAGAUAUUAGGAAGAACACCAGUGGCGAAGGCGGCUCACUGGCUCGGUACUGACGCUGAGGCGCGAAAGCGUGGGGAGCAAACAGG